AUUGAACGCUGGCGGCAGGCCUAACACAUGCAAGUCGAGCGGAUGAGGGGAGCUUGCUCCUGGAUUCAGCGGCGGACGGGUGAGUAAUGCCUAGGAAUCUGCCUGGUAGUGGGGGAUAACGUCCGGAAACGGGCGCUAAUACCGCAUACGUCCUGAGGGAGAAAGUGGGGGAUCUUCGGACCUCACGCUAUCAGAUGAGCCUAGGUCGGAUUAGCUAGUUGGUGGGGUAAAGGCCUACCAAGGCGACGAUCCGUAACUGGUCUGAGAGGAUGAUCAGUCACACUGGAACUGAGACACGGUCCAGACUCCUACGGGAGGCAGCAGUGGGGAAUAUUGGACAAUGGGCGAAAGCCUGAUCCAGCCAUGCCGCGGGUAUGAAGAAGGUCUUCGGAUUGUAAAGCACUUUAAGUUGGGAGGAAGGGCAGUAAGUUAAUACCUUGCUGUUUUGACGUUACCAACAGAAUAAGCACCGGCUAACUUCGUG
rnacentral:rRNA from 1 species